CUGCUCAAUGAAUAAUUUUUUAAAUAGCUGCAGUAUAAAUAACUGUACAAAGGUAGCAUAAUAAUUAGUUUUUUUAUUGAAAACUAGAAUGAAAGAUUUAAUGAAAUAUAAACUGUCUUAAAUAAAUUGACAAUUAAAAUUAUUUUUAAGUUAAAAAACUUAAAUAAUAUUAAAAGACGAGAAGACCCUUUAGAAUUUUAUAAAUAUUUUAUUUAAUAUAACUUAUUAAUAUAAAUUUUAAUUAAAAUAUUUAUUUAAUUGGGGCAAUUUUAAAAUUUAAUAAAUUUUUAAAAUAAUUUUACAUAAAUUAAUGAUUUAAUGAUCUUAAAAUUUAAAUUUUUAAAAUAAAUUACCUAAGGGAUAACAGCAUAAUUUUAUUUUUAAGAUCAAAUUUAAAAUAAAUCUUAUGACCUCGAUGUUGAAUUAAGAUAAAAUUAAAAUGAAAAAAUUUUAUAUUUUAAGUCUGUUCGACU
rnacentral:rRNA from 1 species